UGGGGGAUAUUGCACAAUGGGGGAAACCCUGAUGCAGCGACGCCGCGUGUGGGAAGACGGUCCUCUGGAUUGUAAACCACUGUCCCCAGGGACGAAGAUGACGGUACCUGGGGAGGAAGCUCCGGCUAACUACGUGCCAGCAGCCGCGGUAAUACGUAGGGAGCAAGCGUUGUCCGGAAUUACUGGGUGUAAAGGGAGCGUAGGCGGGGAUGCAAGUUGGGUGUCAAAACUAUCGGCUCAACUGAUAGUCGCACUCAAAACUGCAGCUCUUGAGUGAAGUAGAGGCAGGCGGAAUUCCUAGUGUAGCGGUGAAAUGCGUAGAUAUUAGGAGGAACACCAGUGGCGAAGGCGGCUUACUGGACGGUAACUGACGUUGAGGCUCGAAAGCGUGGGGAGCAAACAGGAUUAGAUACCC
rnacentral:rRNA from 1 species